rnacentral:rRNA from 1 species
GAUGAACGCUGGCGGCGUGCCUAAUACAUGCAAGUCGACCGAACGGACGAGAAGCUUGCUUCUCUGAUGUUAGCGGCGGACGGGUGAGUAACACGUGGAUAACCUACCUAUAAGACUGGGAUAACUUCGGGAAACCGGAGCUAAUACCGGAUAAUAUUUUGAACCGCAUGGUUCAAAAGUGAAAGACGGUCUUGCUGUCACUUAUAGAUGGAUCCGCGCUGCAUUAGCUAGUUGGUAAGGUAACGGCUUACCAAGGCAACGAUGCAUAGCCGACCUGAGAGGGUGAUCGGCCACACUGGAACUGAGACACGGUCCAGACUCCUACGGGAGGCAGCAGUAGGGAAUCUUCCGCAAUGGGCGAAAGCCUGACGGAGCAACGCCGCGUGAGUGAUGAAGGUCUUCGGAUCGUAAAACUCUGUUAUUAGGGAAGAACAUAUGUGUAAGUAACUGUGCACAUCUUGACGGUACCUAAUCAGAAAGCCACGGCUAACUACGUG